GCCCGCUUAGCACAGCGGUAGUUGCGCUCCGCUCGUAACGGAGAGGUCGGUUGUUCGAAUCAGCCAGUGGGCA